UUCAAAGAAACAGUGUCCAAUUACAACAUACACACAUUUUACCUUAAAAGUUUUCUUCAGUUACUUUUGCUUUUAUAUAACCUAUGCACAUCUAAACUAACUAAAUUAUAUUUUAUAACUAUAUUUUACAAAAGCACAUCUGCUGGUCAGCCAUCAGACAAAGGACUUCUUGGCAAAAAUAAAACAUUUGUUACUCCUUUACAUCAUUGGAGUUAUUCAUAUUGAUCUUAAAACAUUAAAAGAGAACUUACAUGAACCAAAAAUUAAGCCAUGCCAUUUCUAUGAAAUAAAAAUUAAAAAACAAAAAGCAUAAAAUUAUGAAACAGCCUCUUCCUAUUGUUUUAUUGACUCUCAACAAGUUACACAAGUUUCUGUUUGAUAAUUGCACGGCUCCUGAACUCUGUCCACAUACGUUAUAUAAACCUUAUCUAACGCUCACUCACUAGAGGUGAAUACUGAGGACAUAAACCAUAAAACUGAUGAAAAACAACAGCUUAAGAUGCCAAAUGUCUGUCUCACUUUUCUUCUGUAUGCAAAUGCACACUAGUGUCAGGAAAAAGAGACAUGAUGGUACAGUGUGCACUCAGAAUAUUUGAAUUCAUUUUACUAGCUGGUAUUUUUCUACGGUAAGCAACCGUGUGUCUCUCUGCGUAUAGGUUUCACGUUAAAGCAAGCUUCAGUUCAGUCUCUCGUUAUCUCUGUCCACACACACACACAUAAGCGAGUCCCGCCCACUCACACACACACCAGGAAAAGAAAGAAACGAAACUGUUUGUGGAUUCCCUUUAACACCGAGCUCCUUGUUCUCCAUGCAAAUGGCAUGUGCUCGGUUUGCCUCCAGGACCUGCAGGAACACAGCUGGCCUCAGAGUCAACACGAUUCCUGAUGUGGGACAGAUCUGGAAGAAUCCAGGGCUCCAGAUCCAGACGAAUCCACCAUUAAAAACAGGGUCUGGGAUGCUACAGAACGAGCAGAGGCACUGCUUAAUGUGGCCAAAGAACAGUCAACAGGUUACGACUUCUGAAAUGCCUCAAGUGAUCCAGUGAUUCCCAGAGGAAGCUGAAAGAGUCCAAGCUCGAGAGACGGAGCUGAAGGAAAUCCAAUAGGAAUCACGUGGCCUCAAGCUGAGAUUAAAAAGUGGAAUCAUUUUCCAAACACUUUCUCCAAUCCCAGAUUAAUGGACAUUAGGAAGAUAUGUUGAUGAACCCAAGCGCUGUUGAAUUUCACACAUCUACAUUUUCAAACUUGCCCAGUUUUGCGGUCAUCGAAACCAAACACCAUUGACUCUCACAGCGGUCUCGUAAAUAAACACAAACCAGAAAGUUUUAAUAUACAGAGGCAGAAACACAAUACGACUUCAAUCUGCGUCUUCUGCUCAAAUGGCUUGGAAUAUAACAUCGUAUGGAUACUUUCGUGAUGUUGUUUUGGAGUUCGACAACCUCAAUAAAGACUUCAACGCAGAC